rnacentral:piRNA from 1 species
AAUUAUCAGGGUCUCCUAAAAUAUCUGGGA